CCUUCAUCCCGUCCCCUGGGGCACCUGGAAAUAUUUUUAGUCAUUGCAAAUGGAGGGAUGAAAACAAAUGACUUCAUAGGGAAAGCAAUGGCUUGCCCAGAAGAAGUGAUCAAUAAAUGAUUUUUGCUUCAACAACAUGUGAAAGCACUUUCAGAAGGAUGCUAACGCCAACGACUCGAAAUGCAAGGAAGACACAGUGAUGCAAAUACAGCCUUCAUCCAAAAGAAUCAGAGUAAUAGUGUAAUG